GUUUCUCUUGUGGGUAAUUACCUUUAAAGAAACCCACUAAGAGAAAUGAUGUUUAUGGAAAAUUAUUUGUAAGCUAUAUCUUUUUCAACUCUUUUAAGUAGUAUUCUUAAACUUUUACCAUCAGAAGGCUAUGAACUCAAACUACUUUAUCUUACAUAUAUUAUAAAAAAAAGUAUAAAAUAAGAAGGAAUGACUUUUUGACCAUUGUGAUGUAUGGAAAAGGACUGAACUUCUAUUUUACAAAUUGAUCAUAUUAAGUCAUAAAAGUUCAGUUCCCCAGCCAAGUUCUGCUGAGGAAUCCCUUCAACCAGACUUACCAAUCUGCUGAAGAAACCUAAAAGAGACAUCAAUUCUACUAAUGAAGAUCUAUCUAUACAAAUAAAAAUCACUAGCUAUAAAAAGAAAAUCAGCAGCUCAAAAAGGAGAGUAAGGUGAACAAGCUGUGCAAAUGGUACUCAAUGAGGAGAAAUAACGCAAGAAACAGGAGAGGUAACUGAAAUUUUCUAGUUUUGUUUUCCGUUAUAUUUGAGGGGUAUUGUGGCAAUAAACAAGAAUAUACUACCAUGGAAAAGGAGCAAUUAACAAUAAGACAACGAAAAAUGGUUGUACUAAUCUAAACACUCCCCCGGUACAUGAAAUUCAGGUUUUCUCUGUAAUUCAGGUGUUACUAUUUUUAAACUCAGUUAAUCUGCAAAGCAAUGAAUUAAAUCCAGUUAUUUUUAUUUUUAAUUCUUAGAUGCUUAGUUUUCAGAUGUUUGUUGUUGGCAGAAAGCAAAGGUAAGAUUGAGAGUAUGCGGAAAUUCUUUACUGAGAGAAGUUCUGUGCACAGAAGGAGUCUGGCAGACAUUCCUGGCUCCUGACCAGUGAAUACCAGUAGUGCUUUCUCAAUUGUGGUGAUAACUUAAAAAGGACUCUAACAUUUCCAAUAUGUCCCUUGGGGGAAUAGAGGAGAGAAUGGAGGAGAAGCAGUACUAGCCACACACAAAAGAGGAAAAUAUUUAAACAUAGAAAAUAAAACUAAGAUCUCUAGAUGAAAAUACAGGAUUAACAAAAUCUUGCAGUAGAGAUUUCCUUUCUAAGCAUGACACUAAGACCAGAAAUCAUAAAAGACUAACAUAUCUGACUAAACUAGAAUAUAGACAUGAUAAAUUGAGAAAAAAUAUUUUUAAUUUAUAGUAGGGACUAUUGAUUUUUUUCUUUUAAAGGCUGCAUUUGUGGCACAUGGAAGUUCCCAGGCUAGGGGUCGAAUCAGAGCUACAGCUGCUGGCCUACACCGCCACCACAGCAACUCGGGAUUCAAGUCCCAUCAGCAAUGUACACCACAGCUCAGGGCAACGCUGGAUUCCUGACCCACUGGGGGAGGCCGGGGAUCAAACCCGUGUCCUCAUGGGUACUAGUCAGAUUUGUUUCUGCUGUGCCACUACAGGAACUCCACUAAAAAUUCACUAAAGAAAAAAUUUAUGUUAACAAUAGGGUUAUUUUAGCACUUACUAUGUGCCAAGUACAACAGGUACAAAGUAAUUGCCUUACAUGAAUUUCAUUAUUAGGAGAGGAUACAGAAUUCCUCAACCAUUAGAUUUCAUGUCAUUUUAAUGGUAAGAUCAAUUAGCUUGCCAAAGUUAAACAGCAUGUCCGUGAUGGAGGGUAGUAUUCAAGCUCUAAUUCCAGAACUCAGAGUUUUAUCAUUUUAUCAAUAACAAUGAUAUCAAUUUUAUCAAAUAUUUUAUCAAACAUUGUUAUCAAUAACAGUUCUACUGCUACAGCUAUAUUUAUUUCAUGGAAUAAAUAAAGCACAUGGAUGUCUGUAAAAGACAAAAAAUAUACUUAUUAUUUGUAACUGAGUAAAAAAUAAUCUAAAUAACUACCAAUGAGGAAUUUAUUUACUAAAAUAUGAUAUAACCAUACCAUAUAGUAUUCGGGAAUUACAGAGUAAGGGAAAUCUGUGUAGUAAUAUGGGAAGACUUUAGCAAGACUUUUAUAAAAGCCACUUGCAAAACAGACUUGCAACAUGAGCUCAUGUUAUUUUUAUUAUUUAGAAUAUUAAUAAAAACAUCUCUAUUUUGGGAAAAAAGAAGGAAAGACUACAUUCAUCAAAUUGUUUCCUAUAUAAACUCAUAGCUUUUAUAAUAUUGGUAAAAUGUCUUAUGCUCUUUCUCACUUUUAAUUUAUACCGGAAAUUUUUAAUGUUAUUCCUAAUGAUAGCAGGAAAUAACUAAUUUAUUCUCACCUUCAUAAAAUCAACCAACAAUGUUAUAGAUUGCUAAGAGAUUAUGUAGAGUUCUCAGUAUUUAAACCAGCCACUUUCUUUAUUGGUUUUCUCUAAAAAUUAUAUUAAGCUAUUUCAAGAUAGAGUACUUUUUAAAAAAGCAGUUAAGCAAUACGUAUAAAAAUUUUAAAAUUUCAACCUCUUUGAUCUAGCUAUUAUAUUUUUUAUUUAAAAGAAAUUGUGACCAAAGAUUUUAUUUCAUCAAUGUAAUAAGAACACUAGUAAAAUAAAAAAAUUAAAUCAGUAACAGAAGCUAUUUGAAUAAGUCAUGGAACAAAUACACAAUAUUGUACAGCUACUUAAAAUAAUAGUCUAGAAGAAAAUUAAAUAAUCUGGAAAGAUGUCCACAAUAUAUUGUUAAUGAAAAAAAUUUCAAGUAAAGGGGCAUAUACCAUAUGAACUCACCUAAAAAACAGAUGUCCCUAAAGAGAACGAUCUGGAAGGAUAAGCACUGAAAUGAUUAUCUCUGGAUGUUGCAGUUACAUCUGUUUUCCUAGUUUUUUUUUUUUUUUUUUGGUCUUUUUGCCAUUUCUUUAGCCGCUCCCUCGGCAAAUGGAGAUUCCCAGGUUAGGGAUCAAAUCGGAGCUGCAGCCACCAGCCUACACCAGAGCCACGCAAUGCGGGAUCCGAGCCGCAUCUGCAACCUACACCGCAGCUCAAGGCAACGCCAGAUCCUUAACCCACUGAGCAAGGCCAGGG
rnacentral:lncRNA from 1 species